rnacentral:rRNA from 1 species
ACGGCUCAGUAACACGUAGUCAACAUGCCCAGGGGACGUGGAUAACCUCGGGAAACUGAGGAUAAACCGCGAUAGGCCAAGAUUUCUGGAAUGGAUCAUGGCUGAAAUCUACAUGGCCCCUGGAUUGGACUGCGGCCGAUCAGGCUGUUGGUGAGGUAAUGGCCCACCAAACCUGUAACCGGUACGGGCUCUGAGAGGAGGAGCCCGGAGAUGGGCACUGAGACAAGGGCCCAGGCCCUAUGGGGCGCAGCAGGCGCGAAACCUCUGCAAUAGGCGAAAGCUUGACAGGGUUACUCUGAGUGAUGUCCGUUAAGGGCAUCUUUUGGCACUUCUAAAAAUAGUGUAGAAUAAGGGGUGGGCAAGUCUGGUGUCAGCCGCCGCGGUAAUACCAGCACCCCGAGUGGUCGGGACGAUUAUUGGGCCUAAAGCAUCCGUAGCCGGUUCUGCAAGUCUUCCGUUAAAUCCACCUGCUCAACAGAUGGGCUGCGGGGGAUACUACAGGGCUAGGAGGCGGGAGAGGCAAGCGGUACUCGGUGGGUAGGGGUAAAAUCCUCUGAUCCACCGAAGACCACCAGUGGCGAAGGCGGCUUGCCAGAACGCGCUCGACGGUGAGGGAUGAAAGCUGGGGGAGCAAACCGGAUUAGAUACCCGGGUAGUCCCAGCUGUAAACGAUGCAGACUCGGUGAUGGGUUGGCUUUGAGCCAACCCAGUGCCGCAGGGAAGCCGUUAAGUCUGCCGCCUGGGGAGUACGGUCGCAAGACUGAAACUUAAAGGAAUUGGCGGGGGAG